GAUGAACGCUGGCGGCGUGCCUAAUACAUGCAAGUCGAGCGAACAGACGAGGAGCUUGCUCCUUUGCCGUUAGCGGCGGACGGGUGAGUAACACGUAUGUAACCUACCUAUAAGACUGGGAUAACUUCGGGAAACCUGAGCUAAUACCGGAUAAUAUUUCGAACCGCAUGGUUCGAUAGUGCAAGAUGGCUUUGCUAUCACUUAUAGAUGGACCUGCGCCGUAUUAGCUAGUUGGUAAGGUAACGGCUUACCAAGGCAACGAUACGUAGCCGACCUGAGAGGGUGAUCAGCCACACUGGAACUGAGACACGGUCCAGACUCCUACGGGAGGCAGCAGUAGGGAAUCUUCCGCAAUGGGCGAAAGCCUGACGGAGCAACGCCGCGUGAGUGAUGAAGGUCUUCGGAUCGUAAAACUCUGUUAGUAGGGAAGAACAAACGUGUAAGUAACUGUGCACGUCUUGACGGUACCUAAUCAGAAAGCCACGGCUAACUACGUG
rnacentral:rRNA from 1 species